UUUUCGUAAUUUUUUUUAAAAGAAAAAAAUUCUAAAUGGUUUUAAUAGAAAAGUGUAUCCAAAUUGAUACGUUAGACCUCUAUCAACAAAAUAAAAAAAAAAUAUAUAUAUAUAUAACAAGUAAAAAUUUCAAACGGUCCGUUUUGAAACAGAUUGUAUAACCCUUGCUGAUGCCAUUCACACUACCUCCACUCACCUCAAUGAAGUUUGAGACAUUAUUUCUCAAUGCAGAGGUCUCUUGUUUACAAAUACCGACUUUAAAGUGUCGUAUAUUAGGAGGCAAGUUAAUAGGGUUGCUCAUAGUAUAGCUAGAGCUUCUUUAUCUCAUCCUAGCCCCCAUCUUUUUUAUAGUGUACCUUCAAAUUUGUACUCUUUGUUCUUGAAUGAAAUGC
rnacentral:lncRNA from 1 species